rnacentral:tRNA from 1 species
GCGAGAGUGGCGGAAUUGGUAGACGCACUGGCCUUAGGAGCCAGCCCACUUGGUGGAUGGGGGUUCGAGUCCCCCCUCUCGCA